rnacentral:lncRNA from 1 species
UUGUCGUUUCUGUCUGGAAGAGCAAUCAACUGGCAUGGAGGACAGUGAAGAAGGAAACCCUCAUUGCAGGAGUGGGCAUCACAUCUGGAGGAAGCUGCUGGCAGCUCAGAGACGCCGAACAGACGUGGACCAAACAGGCUGCAGUGACUGAUUCCCAGCUACCACAGGAGACUGCCUCAUACAGCUUCAUUCCUAAUUUAGUAGUGCUGCCUUGAAAUACCACGGAGCCGCAGGAAAGCAGAAGGAUGGCACCCGGCUGCCGGAGCAUGUCUUGUGUGGAUGUGGAGAACAGAAACCUGCCGAGAUGGGUACCUGAGCUCUGUUUCUGCUGUAAGCAACAUGUCUGAGGCUGUAGCAGUUGGACAGGUGGAGCAGCACCAUUGGAAGCCCUGUGCUACAGGAUGAGAGCUGUCAGAUUGUACAAGCACUGGUGGUCAUAGGAGAGACAGCUUCG